UUUAAACACCACAUCAAACUAAAAUAAAUCUAAUUAAAAUACAAUAAAUUAAAAUAAAAGAACUAAUAUAUUAAUUAAAUUAAAAUACUCAUUCAAUGAAAAUACACAUAGAAACAGGGUAUCACAUUGAUAGUUGUAUUGAUUCAGGCAAAUCAACAUCAGGAUACAUGGUGAAUGGCUUAAGAGUUUCAUUUAUGAGCUUAGAGUUAUGGACUCUAUCUCUAAGCCAUUGAGAAUAUAUUGCGACAAUUCAGCUACUGUUUUUAUGGCAAAGAACAACAAUAGUAAGAGUCGAAGUAAACACAUAGAUAUUAAGUAUUUAGUCAUAAGAGAAUGUGUUAAAGAAAAGAAAGUGGUCAUUGUGCACGUCAGAACUGAGUCAAUGAUAGCUGAUCCUUUGACUAAGGGCAUGCCACCAUUGAAAUUCAAGGAUCAUGUAAUAAAUAUAAGACUUGGUUCUAUUAUAUAAUUUUUCAUUGUAUGAACAAUGUUAUUUUAAUGAAAUUCUUCAUUAUUUUGAUGUUUUUCUCAUAUUGAUGUGCACCUUGAUUUAAUUUGAGAAAAAAUUAUAUGUGUUGGACCAAGAAUAAACAUAGGGUUUACUUAUUAAGAAAUUAUUGCCACAUAAAUUUUAAGAAAUAAAAACAUGGUAAUACAUGGAAGAUAAUACUCGUCAUAAGAUGACUUAUCACUAUGAUUUAUGUACUUAUUACUUAAUAAAGAUUAUCGAUGGGUUUAAGAUAUGAAGUGUGGAUCAAGUGAGAGAAUGUUGACGAUUUCUCUCAGAAGUGGUUAAGAGAACGGGUCUCUAGCUCCCCUUCAUCCUAGGAGUUUUGAAGUGGUCCACUCUACGUUUCCAAACGUUGGGACUGCCUCCAUGAUAAUUUGAGAAUGUGGGAUACGUGUUACCGAAACUUGAUGAAAGCUUUGGCUAUAAAUACCAUUGUUUGGUCCCCAAACUUACUUAACUCGAUUCCCUUCAGUCUUACACCAUCUAAGGUGAGUUUAGUAGAUUUUGAAAGUGCCAAAACAAGGAAGAAAACAAUGAGAAACAGAGAAUAGCAUCAAUGGCCGGAGUGAUGGAAGGAAAGCACUGGUGCCCCCUCCCUCACUUCCAAUAUGAGAGGCAUUUGUGAAGGCAAAUGACUUGUACAUACAUCUUCUUCACUUGUUGAGUAUUACCAUUCUUUUUAAUGAACAAUCCUUAAUUUCUUGAGAUUAGUAGUCAAUGUGAAAAUUGAAAUUUCGGUACCUCUGUUAUCUCCUUUAGACAUAAUAAUCCCAGUUAUAGUACUCA